UUUUUUUAAAGUAUUUUAUUAAUAACCCAUUAGUUAAGGAAUAUAAGGACAAUGUCUUCUUACACUUUAACACUAAAGAGUAUUUUGGAGUAAGAACAGUCUCUGAAGAAAGAAAGUUAUAACUAAGUACAGCAUGGAACCAAACACAGACACAAUCUUCAAACGAGAUCAAGUUCUGGUUACACAUCCUUAUGCACUGGGUAGAAAAUGAAAUGAAAUUUGAUUUUAAAAUACAAGCAAGGGAAUACAGUAACAGAACUAGAUGGCAGAUUUCUGCUGGACUAAACACCUCUUCUCCAACAAAAGUAUUGAUUAGAAAAGACACAAUGAUCCCUUCAAAACAUCUAUUUCUAAGGAGAUCAAAACCAUAUAUAGUGCUCUAUUAAAAUGGUUGUUUUCUCACACAGCAGAGUUCAUGGGCUGAUCUCAGGACAGUUAGCCAGUAACGUAAAAAACCCUCGAAUUCUAGAUUAGAAGUUCGCUCAUUUAAACUAUUUAAACCAGAACUUUGCUGUCUGUUAAGUAAGAAAUCAAAUCAACCAAAAGUUGAUAUUUUUAUCCAUGUGUUUCAUGUAAUAAAAUUAAAAGAAACAAAAGGAUGAGAUUGUGACUCUCGCAGCAGCACAGGGAAUAUACAGUUGUGUAGCCAAACGGGAACAUUAAUACCACAAAAUUAUGCCAGUGAGACAAACCUGACAUUUCAACAAUGUAAAACAAUAUACACCAGCAGAAAGCUGAACAGCAAUAAUCCUUAGUGUUACUGAAAGGAAGGGAGAAAGGAGCCUGAUGGGUAGGAACAUAUAUUAAGCAUGAUGGGUAAUUAAAGGUAUUGACAGUUUGUGUGUCUGCGAGAAAUCUUAUUUCAUGAUAAAAAAAUAUAUGCACUGGUUGUUUCAGCUUCACACAUGAAAUGUGUAUUAUCUGUCGUCUUCCAUACAUUUCUAGCUGAGACUAGAAAGGUCCCCUGGGUGCUCAAGACAGGAGGGACCUGGGGUGCAGUCGAGGACACCCAGUGUUCUGUGUGGACACGUGCUCAUACAGAGAGCAGCUUCACUGCUGCCUGUUGGUGGUGAUCUCUUGGCUCCGAGGAAACUGCUUUGAUUCCUGUACCGAGGUCUGGCACACCACUCCAUGGCCACCACAGUCCUUGGGCAUCCAAAUGCUGCCAAUUUCACACUGGUACAAUUCGGUGGGGUGUAACGAGAUCAGAGUAAGCCUCAGCACGAGGAGACAAAAUAUUUCUGUGAUGCAUAAGCAGAACUGUUUGCACUCUGCUGCAUCUCCCUCAAAGCUCUCAGAGCAUGUAACUAACGUGGUGGUUUUGUGAUUGACCCACGGUGAUCCAGGGGAAUGGUGCCACACUGUGCCUGCUUGUGCUGGGUUCAGCGACACGCAGGGAUAGCUUUUAGGCAGAUCAGGAACACUCACCCCAUGGCUACAUGAUUGCUGAAGUCAGUACAGACAAAGCAAAGGGUGCAUGUAUAAAGGAGCAUCCCAGAAAUUGUGGCACUCCUGAGCCAGGGCUAACCUCCAACCCCAUAGCCCUUGGAUGGAAAGCUGGUACAUGAAUCAGGAGAAGUAAACCAGAAGAACUCUGGCACCCUGGUCAUACCCAAACUCCUCCCUCCAGCAGCGAGGUGCACAGCAGGAGUCCUUUGGCAUGCUGUCAUGCUCACAGGCAGAUGACUUGGUUUGGGAGGUGAAAGGAAGUCACUGUGGUUCCUCUGGAGCGAGCUUUUAGGAAAAGGGUCCUUCUCCCUUUCUGCACACCAGCAGUGGCCAUGUGGCUUGCACAGGGUCUGUUCUGUCACCAGGGAAGGACAAGGACUCUUCCAGGAAACCAACUGCGAGCUGAGGUCUAGCUGCAGAAGUCUCCCCACCCUCUGCAGCCCAAUACUCCCCGCUGGAGGGUUUAUACCUCUGCAAUUGCAUCCGCUCCCAUAUAACUGUGAAUUGCCCUUAUUGCCUGCAAUAACACUUCACUGCCUUAUCUGUAACCCUGCUAAGUCAUUAGUUUCAAAGGCUUGUGGCAGUGAGUUCUGGAGAUUAUUUACACACCUCCUCUGCCCAGUGGUGAUUCCUUGUCUUUCUAGCCUCUUGCUCUGGUAGUGCACACACACUAACUCCUGCCUCGCCUGCUCACUGGCACUGAUUCCCAGUCUCUGUGCCACAGCCUUUCAGAGUCAUGGCACUCCAGAGCAUGGAAUGGCAUUUCUGAGACUCCUCAAGGUACCAAACAGCAGCUGAAGUAACAGAGCAAGUGCAACGACUGGAAAUACAGCCAUUUGACAGAGCAGUGUGUCAUGCCAGGAGGACACGCUGUAGGAUGGGAAGAGGUGGAAGCUCCAAUAUCCUUCCCAACAGGGUACAUGGAGACUCGGAGGUACUCCUCUGCUGAAGAGCUGGAGCUAACAGGGUUUGAUGGAGGACUGCAAGUACAUGGGCUGGUCCAGCUCAGCUCCAAACACAGGGCACAAUAGCUCUUCACAACAGAAGCAAGGAUAGGGUGCUGGUGGAGCACGGUUCUCCUUGCUGCAAGCAGUGGUAUGUCAGUCUCAGUCCGGAUUUCACCACAAAAAACAAAGCCUAAAGUCUCUUACAGGAUCUCAAGUCAGCACACAGCUCCCCCAUAAGAAUUUCAGUAAGAAAAGAGGGAGAUGGGCAUCUUUUCCUUCGUUUUUUCAACAAACAAAUGGCCAGAUCUCUGAAUCCUCCAGGAGGACACAACAUUUACCAAACACCCAAUGCACAGAAUUACCGAUCCAUGUUACCCCGAGGAGCUGGUCUGAUCUGUAGUGUUCACAGUCAAACUCUGCAAGCCUGGAACGGGGCAGAGACAGGCUAAAGUAAAGAUAGAGGAAAGGUCACCCCACACCAGAGAGCCAGGCUGAGAGACAAGUCAGCAGUAAGCGAAGAGUCACUGGAUGAGUUUCAAAUCAGACUGGUACGAGACCAAAGAUUUGAUUUUCAUUUUUAGCUCUGGUGAUGCUCAGCUCUUAAAAAAAAACAAAGCCUCAAAACCAAACCCACUUUGGCCACUUCAGACUCUCAGAAGUGACUGGAAAGUUUCACUUGUUCAUCCAAAGCCUUCAGCACGUCACUGCUUACAGAAGGCUGAGAGCUGCUCUCCGGAAAUCAAAAUCAUCUGAGAUGUCUCCACCUGGGCACAAAAACCUCCAAGAAAUAGAUGUCCCCAAGAUCACAAGUUACUUUCCCAAUUGCUGGUUCUUUUUUCCACAAGAUCACAAGUUAUUUUUGCAAUGGUUGGUUUUUUUCUCUUCGCUAGUACAAGUUUGUUAAUGAAAGAUGGAUCAACAUCCUGCCAGCUGAAGCAGUGUCCUUUGGCCAGCUCCGGCAAAACACAGACAUGUGGAGAAACACAACCCAACUCUCCAGCUGUAGGGAAGGUGUCCUACAGCAAUACUUAGAAACAAAGCAAGAGAGACAUCAGAUCUGCAGCACUAAGCAUUAAAAAUGAGUCAACAACCAGUGCAAACAUGUUCUUUAGAAAAAGGCAGUACAAGAAUAAGUUAAAACCUAGAAUGGACCAUAACAAAAGAGUAAAUCUACUGCUUUUUCUCCAACAGACAUGAGGUAGUUGUGUUGUUAGGGAGGAAAAAAUAAAGAGAGAGAAGUAGUAAAAAUGCUACUCUAUACCACACACUAUUCCACUUUAUAAAAUUAAAUAAUAUAAAGAUGUUCCAAGGAAAUAAAAAUACAUGUUGUACAUUAAAAGGACAGACGUGUACCUAAAAUAUUAGGUACAAGAACCUACAUAAAACAAAGUCCAGGUUGGUGAAAUGACCCAGACACUGAAGAAGGUUCUAUAUAGUACAAGUUGUUAGAGGCACUCGUAGAGUGUGUAAUAAAAGGCCACUACAUCAGCCUGCAAGUAAGAGUUCCUGCGGUAGCGCACAAAGAGAGCCUUAUAAUCCUUUUAACCACGGGAGGGCAGAACAGGCUGGUGGUUACAGCUCACUGAGUUUGUCUCCGUUGGCUUCCACCCCCUCGUGGGACUCCUCCGACAAGAUCCAUCCCAAAGCUGCGAGGCAGUAGGUAGUGCCAAGGCCUGGUGAAGAGACAGUCGAGAGGAAUCACUUGGUGUACCCUGCCUCUUCCCAGCAGGAAAAGACAUCGUGCCAGUCGCCUCGAGGACUACAGCGAAGUGACAGCCC
rnacentral:lncRNA from 1 species